GUUUUUUAGAAUCAGAUUGUGGGGCUUGAACUCAGGGCCUGGGCGCUUCCCUGAGUGGUUUUGCUCAAAGCCAACACUCUACCCCUGAGGCACUGCACCACUUCGUUUUCUGUGGUUCAUUGGAGAUAAGAGUCUCACGGGCUUUCCUGC